AAGAAAAAAAAUCCAAAAUGAUUAGUAAAGAAAAAUAUAAGAAUUAACAGACCCUUUACAUUUGUUUUAAAAAGUGUUUAAAGUUUGUAAUUCCUAGUAGUAAAACAUUAUCUGAAUGAAUACCCUAAUGGCAAACCUAAUGGCAAACUGUAAAAUGCUUCAGCUGUAUUUGGGGGAGAGGGGUAGGGAUUAUCUUAAAGCACCCCAGCUCUCUUGAUGAGAAGGUACAUUGGUUUGUAUUAUUGUGACAUCCAUAAGGUGAUCUAGGUUGCUUUUCCUUCAGCAAGGGCUUUAUUUAUCAGAAGGGCAUUACACUUGACCUCCAAAUUUGGCUGACAAUUUACUGAUGAGAUUCAUAACCUUUGGGUUGCUCUGGUAUUUUGACACAUUUGCUGGGUUCUGAGCCACAUCCUGGAAGGCCACCAUAACUUCUGGAUCCUGCAUGGCUGCAAGAACCUCUGGAUCACUAAGAAUUUCAUUGAAUCCAGGCAUUCCAGCCAUUCCAGACAUGCCCCCUCCCAUUCCAGGCAUUCCUCUGGGAAAAUUACCAGGCAUUCCCCCAGGAAAGCCACCUGGAAAAGAGCCAUACUGAGCUCCUGACUGUCGUCUGGCUUCUUCCUCCCUCUGGGCUCUCUCAUGCUCUUUUCGAGCCUUCUUAACUCGUUCUACUCUUUCUUUGAUCUCUCGCUCUUCAUGUUUUCGCUCAUACUUUCUCCGAUGUUCUGCAAUUUUCUAAGUCUGUGUGCUUUCCCCCGCCACUUGUGAGGCUGAGCUGAAUCAGGAUUUAUUUCAAUGGCUCUGUCACAGUCUUGGGUGGCAGCAUUUGGCUUCUGUAAUUUGACGAAAACACUGGCCCUCUUGGCAUACAAAAUGGCCAAGCGAGGAUUCAGCUUGAUGGCGUCUGUCAAUAACUCAAUGGCUUUCUGGAGUUCACCAUCAUUUAGGGCUUCAAUAGCAGCCACUUUUUUAUCAUUUGCCUGAUCCAUCAUCUCCUCCGUUAUCUCCGCAUUUUCAUCUCCCAUUUCUUGAGGAGCAUCAGUGUCUGGUUCAAUCACACCUUCUUUAUCAAUUUCUAGAUCACUUUCCUCACUUGAUGGUUCGUCUGCCUUUAAGUCUUCCUCCACCUUCUUACUAUCAGGUUUUUCUUCCUCGGUAUUUUCUUCUGAUUUAGCUUUCUGAGUAGCAGGUGGUACUUUACCUCCCAUGCUCUCCACCCACUCCCUCAGGAAGCGCAUUUCCUCGGUGUGCAGAAUGCUCGGAUCCUGCUUACACAUUUUCACAAAGGCCCGAAGCUCGUUCACUUUGCAGGGGUCCAUGGUAGGGAGGCGGUGG
rnacentral:lncRNA from 1 species